UCACGAAGACCUUAUAUACUCGACUCAGCCGCCAUCUCAGCCUUUCGGAGCUGUGCGGCGCGCUGAGCAGGAAUGGCAAUGUGGACCUCUGAUGGAACAUCUGGUGGGAUCUCACAGUCAGUUCUGUGGCAAAGGAGGAUGAAGACUUAAAGAGGACUCAACAGGAAGCUGGAUAACAGAAAGAGAGCAAUGUGCUAGAAUAGAAGACCAGAAAAUGAAAGAUAUGAAAAAAAGGUGGAGUUUAAGGCUGGAUAUACAGCUUGAAAAUUACUGUGAUUGCAUGCUUGUUCAUUGGCUGGCUUGCUUGGGUACAAAUGAUGGUUUGAAUAAAGAAAGGUAUGAACGCAUGGGUCACUUCAAGUGAAGGCACUGCAAACACAAUGGAUCAGUCAUUCUGGAUUUCUGGUCCUUCUGAAUUUUAAAGGCUGCGGUGACAAGUGGACAUGCAGUGACUACCUUUUGUACCUUCCUGUUUCUGAGGUGCCUGGAUGGAGGUUCAAAUAGAAGAUAGUGUCAGAUAUACAUUGUGUUGUCAAAAUUUUACCAUUAAAGUGCAUUACAACAUGAAA